UACAGAGGUCUCAAGCGUUGUUCGGAUUCAUUGGGCGUAAAGGGUGCGUAGGCGGCGCGGUAAGUCGGGUGUGAAAUCUCGGAGCUUAACUCCGAAACUGCAUUCGAUACUGCCGUGCUUGAGGACUGGAGAGGAGACUGGAAUUUACGGUGUAGCGGUGAAUGCGUAGAUAAUCGUAAGGAAGACCAGUGGCGAAGGCGGGUCUCUGGACAGUUCCUGACGCUGAGGCACGAAGGUCAGGGGAGCAAACGGG
rnacentral:rRNA from 1 species